GUCGACGGGCUCUUCGGAGCAAGUGGCGGACGGGUGAGUAACGCGUGAGAAUGUGCCUUCAGGAUGGGGAUAACAAUAGGAAACUAAUGCUAAGACCCAAUGUGCUGAAAAGUGAAAAAUGAAAAUUGCCUGAAGAGGAGCUCGCGUCUGAUUAGCUAGUUGGAGUGGUAAAAGCGCACCAAGGCGACGAUCAGUAGCUGGUCUGAGAGGAUGAGCAGCCACACUGGGACUGAGACACGGCCCAGACUCCUACGGGAGGCAGCAGUGGGGAAUUUUCCGCAAUGGGCGAAAGCCUGACGGAGCAAUACCGCGUGAGGGAGGAAGGCUCUUGGGUUGUAAACCUCAAAACUUAGGGAAGAAAAAAAUGACGGUACCUAAUAUAAGCAUCGGCUAACUCCGUGCCAGCAGCCGCGGUAAUACG
rnacentral:rRNA from 1 species